rnacentral:snoRNA from 1 species
UUCCAUGAAUGAUGAGAAACAUAUCAAUUAUCAGUUAUCCCUGUCUGAUUUAUUUCUGCUGAAUUGACGUUCGCUGACAUGGAA